rnacentral:rRNA from 1 species
GACGAACGCUGGCGGCGUGCCUAAUACAUGCAAGUUGAGCGAUGAAGAUUGGUGCUUGCACCAAUUUGAAGAGCAGCGAACGGGUGAGUAACGCGUGGGGAAUCUGCCUUUGAGCGGGGGACAACAUUUGGAAACGAAUGCUAAUACCGCAUAACAACUUUAAACAUAAGUUUUAAGUUUGAAAGAUGCAAUUGCAUCACUCAAAGAUGAUCCCGCGUUGUAUUAGCUAGUUGGUGAGGUAAAGGCUCACCAAGGCGAUGAUACAUAGCCGACCUGAGAGGGUGAUCGGCCACAUUGGGAAUGAGACACGGCCCAAACUCCUACGGGAGGAAGCAGUAGGGAAUCUUCGGCAAUGGACGAAAGUCUGACCGAGCAACGCCGCGUGAGUGAAGAAGGUUUUCGGAUCGUAAAACUCUGUUGGUAGAGAAGAACGUUGGUGAGAGUGGAAAGCUCAUCAAGUGACGGUAACUACCCAGAAAGGGACGGCUAACUACGUG